GACGAACGCUGGCGGCGUGCCUAAUACAUGCAAGUCGAGCGCAGGAAAUCAUCCGAACCUUUCGGGGGGACGUUGAUGGAAUGAGCGGCGGACGGGUGAGUAACACGUAAAGAACCUGCCCUCAGGUCUGGGAUAACCACGAGAAAUCGGGGCUAAUACCGGAUGGGUCAUCGGACCGCAUGGUCCGAGGAUGAAAGGCGCUUCGGCGUCGCCUGGGGAUGGCUUUGCGGUGCAUUAGCUAGUUGGUGGGGUAAUGGCCCACCAAGGCGGCGAUGCGUGGCCGACCUGAGAGAGGGAUCGGCCACACUGGGACUGAGACACGGCCCAGACUCCUACGGGAGUCAGCAGUAGGGAAUCUUCCACAAUGGACGAAAGUCUGAUGGAGCAGCGCCGCGUGAACGAUGAAGGCCUUCGGGUCGUAAAGUUCUGUUGUAAGGGAAGAACAAGUGCCGCAGGCAAUGGCGGCACCUUGACGGUACCUUGCGAGAAAGCCACGGCUAACUACGUGCCAGCAGCCGCCGUAA
rnacentral:rRNA from 1 species